rnacentral:rRNA from 1 species
GACGAACGCUGGCGGCGUGCCUAAUACAUGCAAGUCGAACGCAGUGGGGACGGGUGAGUAACACGUGGGUAACCUCCCAUCAGAGGGGAUAACACUUGGAAACAGGUGCUAAACCGAUACUGAUGGAUGGACCCGCGGUGCAUUAGCUAGUUGGUGAGGUAACGGCUCACCAAGGCCACGAUGCAUCGCCGAACUGGGAGGGCGACAGGGCACACUGGGACUGAGAAACGGCCCAGAUUCCUGCGGGUGGCAGCAGUAGGGAAAAUUCGGCAAUGGGCGAAAGUCUGGACAAGCAACGCCGCGUGAGUGAAGAAGGUUUUCGGAUCGUAAAGCUCUGUUGUUGAGGGAGCGGUACUUAACCAGAAAGGGACGGCUAACUACGUGCCAGCAGCCGCGGUAAUAC